ACGAAGGGGGCUAGCGUUGCUCGGAAUCACUGGGCGUAAAGCGCACGUAGGCGGGUCGUUAAGUCGGGGGUUAAAUCCUGGAGCUCAACUCCAGAACUGCCUUCGAUACUGGCGACCUUGAGUCCGGGAGAGGUGAGUGGAACUCCGAGUGUAGAGGUGAAAUUCGUAGAUAUUCGGAAGAACACCAGUGGCGAAGGCGGCUCACUGGCCCGGUACUGACGCUGAGGUGCGAAAGCGUGGGGAGCAAACAGG
rnacentral:rRNA from 1 species